ensembl:snRNA U1 U1 spliceosomal RNA
AUACUCACCUGGCAGGGAAGAUACCAUGAUCACGAAGGUGGUUUUUCUCAGGGUGAGGCUCAUCGAUUGCACUCCGGAUGUGCUGACCCCUGCGAUGUCCCCAAAUGUGGAAAACUCGACUGCAUAAUUUGUGGUAGUGGGGGACUGCAUUCAUGCUUUUCCCUG